UAAUAAGUGUUUUUAUGGCACUUUUUUAAAUCCAUAUCCACCUUGUGUGCAAUGUCGGUCGAUCUUCUUCAUGGAGAUCGACCAAACAUCAACCUUUAUCUUUUAACUCUUUGUCUGAAAAAUAUUAUGAAUAAACAAUUCAAAAUA
rnacentral:misc_RNA from 1 species